rnacentral:tmRNA from 1 species
CACCUUGCCCUGCGCAGCCCGGCGCCCUAUAUUCGUCCUGUUCGGGGCUUGCCCCGGGCUAUGGACAUAAACGCGCUCGUAAUAAGCGGUUCGGACCCGGGGGCGGUACCCGGCGGCUCCACCAGAUCCCCGUCAUUGGCGGACCAUGGGGCCGAAACAGGAUCGACGAACGUCUAAAGGGGUUAGCUUUGUCCCGGCGGGGUGCCACCGUUAUCGGUCCGAAAAGUACAGUUGCCAAUGACAACCGUGCUCCGGCAAUGGCUCUGGCUGCGUAAGCAGUUCGAGUCGCCGAAACUAAGCCCUUGCGCCUAGCAGCGUAAGGCGGGGUUCGCAGGCACCUGGCAACAGAAGCCUGCACC